AAUUUUGGACAAUGGGGGCAACCCUGAUCCAGCCAUGCCGCGUGUGUGAAGAAGGUCUUCGGAUUGUAAAGCACUUUAAGGUGGGAGGAAGGGCUUUAGGUUAAUACCCUGAAGUUUUGACGUUACCAACAGAAUAAGCACCGGCUAACUCUGUGCCAGCCGCCUCGGUGAUACAGAGGGUGCAAGCGUUAUUCGGAAUUACUGGGCGGAAAGCGGGGGUAGGUGGUCAAGUAAGUUGGUGGGGAAAUCCCGGGGCUAAACCUGGGAAUUGUUUUCAUAACUCUGGGACUAGAGAAGGGAAGAGGGAGGUGGAAUUUCCGGUGUAGCGGGGAAAGGCGUAGAUAUAGGAAGGACACCAGUGGCGAAGGCGACUACCUGGACUGAUACUGACACUGAGGUGCGAAAGCGUGGGGAGCAAA
rnacentral:rRNA from 1 species